rnacentral:rRNA from 1 species
UCGGAUUGUAGUCUGCAACUCGACUACAUGAAGCUGGAAUCGCUAGUAAUCGCAGAUCAGAAUGCUGCGGUGAAUACGUUCCCGGGUCUUGUACACACCGCCCGUCACACCAUGAGAGUCGGGAACACCCGAAGUCCGUAGCCUAACCGCAAGGGGGGCGCGGCCGAAGGUGGGUUCGAUAAUUGGGGUGAAGUCGUAACAAGGUAUC